ensembl:lncRNA
AAAAAUAUGUAAUGUUGUGAACUCUGGCCGCAGCGGCGCAAGAAAAAGGAGAAUUACGGGAAGCACUCACAACAGCUUUCAGCAGAAUUUCCUCACCAAUGUGGUAGUAGUGCAAUCUCAAGAUGAUGGGCCGAGGAAGAUGACUUUGUUUGGGACGCUGGCGAUUCACUCUAUGUGCUCGAUCGAUGAGUGGCUUCUCCUCGAGAGAUAGGGCCUCCGCCAACAGACAAACGCUCCACAGUGGCCUGGAGAGUGGCGAUGGUGUCAGAGUGGUUCGAGGCACAGUCCUGCAGUUCAGUCAAAGUGUUAUCAUGCCUGGCCACAUCGCUUUUUAUGUCCGAAAUUGAGGGCUGGAUGCUCUGGUUCAAGGAUGAUAUCUCGCCUCCUAUGGUGGUAGAAAUCUCUAAUAUGCAAGUGUCCAG